rnacentral:rRNA from 1 species
GAUGAACGCUGGCGGCGUGCCUAAUACAUGCAAGUCGAGCGAACGGACGAGAAGCUUGCUUCUCUGACGUUAGCGGCGGACGGGUGAGUAACACGUGGAUAACCUACCUAUAAGACUGGGAUAACUUCGGGAAACCGGAGCUAAUACCGGAUAAUAUUUUGAACCGCAUGGUUCAAAAGUGAAAGACGGUCUUGCUGUCACUUAUAGAUGGAUCCGCGCUGCAUUAGCUAGUUGGUAAGGUAACGGCUUACCAAGGCAACGAUGCAUAGCCGACCUGAGAGGGUGAUCGGCCACACUGGAACUGAGACACGGUCCAGACUCCUACGGGAGGCAGCAGUAGGGAAUCUUCCGCAAUGGGCGAAAGCUUGACGGAGCAACGCCGCGUGAGUGAUGAAGGUCUUCGGAUCGUAAAACUCUGUUAUUAGGGAAGAACAUAUGUGUAAGUAACUAUGCACGUCUUGACGGUACCUAAUCAGAAAGCCACGGCUAACUACGUG